rnacentral:rRNA from 3 species
UGCUGGAGGUAUCAGAAGUGCGAAUGCUGACAUAAGUAACGAUAAAGCGGGUGAAAAGCCCGCUCGCCGGAAGACCAAGGGUUCCUGUCCAACGUUAAUCGGGGCAGGGUGAGUCGACCCCUAAGGCGAGGCCGAAAGGCGUAGUCGAUGGGAAACGGGUUAAUAUUCCCGUACUUGGUGUUACUGCGAAGGGGGGACGGAGAAGGCUAUGUUGGCCGGGCGACGGUUGUCCCGGUUUAAGCGUGUAGGUGUGUGUUCCAGGUAAAUCCGGUUCACUUUAACACUGAGGCGUGACGACGAGGCACUACGGUGCUGAAGCAACAAAUGCCCUGCUUCCAGGAAAAGCCUCUAAGCAUCAGGUAACAUCAAAUCGUACCCCAAACCGACACAGGUGGUCAGGUAGAGAAUACCAAGGCGCUUGAGAGAACUCGGGUGAAGGAACUAGGCAAAAUGGUGCCGUAACUUCGGGAGAAGGCACGCUGACACGUAGGUGAAGUGAUUUACUCAUGGAGCUGAAGUCAGUCGAAGAUACCAGCUGGCUGCAACUGUUUAUUAAAAACACAGCACUGUGCAAACACGAAAGUGGACGUAUACGGUGUGACGCCUGCCCGGUGCCGGAAGGUUAAUUGAUGGGGUCAGCGCAAGCGAAGCUCCUGAUCGAAGCCCCGGUAAACGGCGGCCGUAACUAUAACGGUCCUAAGGUAGCGAAAUUCCUUGUCGGGUAAGUUCCGACCUGCACGAAUGGCGUAAUGAUGGCCAGGCUGUCUCCACCCGAGACUCAGUGAAAUUGAACUCGCUGUGAAGAUGCAGUGUACCCGCGGCAAGACGGAAAGACCCCGUGAACCUUUACUAUAGCUUGACACUGAACAUUGAGCCUUGAUGUGUAGGAUAGGUGGGAGGCUUUGAAGUGUGGACGCCAGUCUGCAUGGAGCCGACCUUGAAAUACCACCCUUUAAUGUUUGAUGUUCUAACGUGGACCCGUUACCCGGGUUGCGGACAGUGUCUGGUGGGUAGUUUGACUGGGGCGGUCUCCUCCUAAAGAGUAACGGAGGAGCACGAAGGUUGGCUAAUCCUGGUCGGACAUCAGGAGGUUAGUGCAAUGGCAUAAGCCAGCUUGACUGCGAGCGUGACGGCGCGAGCAGGUGCGAAAGCAGGUCAUAGUGAUCCGGUGGUUCUGAAUGGAAGGGCCAUCGCUCAACGGAUAAAAGGUACUCCGGGGAUAACAGGCUGAUACCGCCCAAGAGUUCAUAUCGACGGCGGUGUUUGGCACCUCGAUGUCGGCUCAUCACAUCCUGGGGCUGAAGUAGGUCCCAAGGGUAUGGCUGUUCGCCAUUUAAAGUGGUACGCGAGCUGGGUUUAGAACGUCGUGAGACAGUUCGGUCCCUAUCUGCCGUGGGCGCUGGAGAACUGAGGGGGGCUGCUCCUAGUACGAGAGGACCGGAGUGGACGCAUCACUGGUGUUCGGGUUGUCAUGCCAAUGGCACUGCCCGGUAGCUAAAUGCGGAAGAGAUAAGUGCUGAAAGCAUCUAAGCACGAAACUUGCCCCGAGAUGAGUUCUCCCUGAGACUU